rnacentral:rRNA from 1 species
GCAAGUCGAACGAGAACGGGAUAUAGCUUGCUAUAUUUGUCAGCUAAGUGGCGAACGGGUGAGUAAUAUAUAGAUAACAUGCCUCUUAGAAGAGAAUAACAGUUGGAAACGACUGCUAAUACCCUAUACUCCUACUAAACAUAAGUUUAAUAGGGAAACGGUUUAUUCUGCUAAGAGAUUGGUCUGUACGGUAUCAGGUAGUUGGUGAGGUAAGAGCUCACCAAGCCUAUGACGCCUAGCUGGUCUGAGAGGAUGAUC